rnacentral:rRNA from 1 species
UACGUAGGUGGCGAGCGUUGUCCGGAUUUACUGGGCGCAAAGAGCGCGCAGGCGGCUGGUCAAGUCCGAUGUGAAAGCUCCCGGCUUAACUGGGAAAUUGCAUCGGAAACUGAUCGGCUGGAAGGUGGGAGAGGGUAGCGGAAUUCCGGGUGUAGCGGUGAAAUGCGUAGAUAUCCGGAGGAACACCGGUGGCGAAGGCGGCUUCCUGGACCGACACUGACGCUGAGGCGCGAAAGCUAGGGGAGCAAACGGG